rnacentral:rRNA from 1 species
CACGUAGGGCGCGAGCGUUGUCCGGAAUUAUUGGGCGUAAAGAGCUCGUAGGCGGCCUGUUGCGUCCGCUGUGAAAGCCCGGGGCUUAACCCCGGGUCUGCAGUGGAUACGGGCAGGCUAGAGGUAGGUAGGGGAGAAUGGAAUUCCCGGUGUAGCGGUGAAAUGCGCAGAUAUCAGGAGGAACACCAACAGCGAAGGCAGAUCUCUGGGACGUUACUGACGCUGAGACGCGAAAGCGUGGGGAGCAAACAGG